ACUCUAUUAUACUAUCUAAUGAAUGGUUGGGUUGGCCGAGCCAUACUCGGGCCUAAUUAUUCAUUAGUUAGAAUUACUGAGUAGAUUCAUGUUAAUGAUUGGAUCUAACCAGGACUUUCAGUGGAGACCCAUCGCCUACUGAAAUAAAAUCUGGGGUAAAACUAAUUACUAAAAAUUAUUUAAAAAAAUAAUUGAUUGAGAUCCUACCCAUAGGUGCAUAU
rnacentral:lncRNA from 1 species